UGGUUUUUAUUUAUCUGUUUAGUCAAGCAAGUGAUAAUGCCCCAUGCCAGUUCUUCAGCUUUUCAAAAUCAAAUAUUAGGAACAAAUGCUUCUCCAAAUAGAAGAUAAAAAUGGACCCGGCAGUUUUGUUGUUAAUCACUCUAGCUGGGAAUACUUGCCUAGUUAUCCAACAAAGAUGUUACACUCAAUGAGGGAAAGAAAGUUGUCUAUGCCUUCAAAAGGUUUAUAAUCUAGUUGGUCUGGUCAGGGUGUGAUUGUCAUGGCAUGUUAUGGGAGGCAGGAUCUAAUAAAUGUCCUUGGGGAAGAACAAAUAAAAUGUGAGGGGAAUUCAGUCAGGAAAGGAAUUGAACCGUUUUCUGGGAUUGGGGAAAUGAAGGAAAAAUUCCAUUGUGCAUAAAAUGCAUCUUAUCUACUUACUUGUUACCCUGGAUUUUUUUUUUUUUUUAGGGCACUUUUUUUUUUUUUUUAAGCUUUUAUCCCAUCUCUGAUAUUCAUUCUGUUCUUGUGCCUUAUAUCUUUUGCUUUCAUUUGUUAGCCUCUUUCUUCCCCGGUGGUUUUGCCCACUAAAAAUAGAUGAACAAUUGGUCUGAAGCUGCAAGGGAGCCAAGAUGAUGCAAAGGCUCUGUAGAAAAUCUAUGCCGUGGACCAUGAGCGGUGGGGCUGUGAGCUGUGAGCUGACCUAGAUGCAAGAUGACCGAGGAGAACAAAAUGUCUAAAUCAUUGUUCCAAAAACACAGCAAUAAACAUAUUUUCCAAGUGUUGGAGAAUGAGGUCAGAAAAGAGUUUUGGACUUGCCAACUUAUUUAGAGAAAACUUCUCGCUGAGAAGUAAACAAUAAGUCACAGUGUUUAUGCAUAUUCCAAAACUGUUAUUGAAAGCAAUGAAACAGCCCAAAAUUGAGGCUAUCAAAGCAAAUCUUGGGCUUUGGAGCAUUAUUUCUUCAUUGAUGAAACUGUAAAA